ACCAGAAAAGCAACAUCAGCCACAUAAUAGAAUGAAAUAAGACCUCAUAAUGAGUGCAUUUUAACAUUCCUGGUAUUACGAGGACAAUGACACAGCAUAUGAUAAGGAAUUCAACAUCGAUUUCCAAAAUAUCCAUCAUAACAAGAAAUGGUUUGUCAGGGAGAAAUGAACAAACAAUUACUUAAUAGUAUAAAUAAGAUUUUUGCACAAUGCUGCAACUGACACCUAUGGUCUAAUUGGGAAAUAAGACUUUCAGAAUUACUCAAAGGCUAGUCUUAUAAAGGAAGACAAGAGGAAGAUCAGCAUACCAUCUCUCAUCACUACUAAAUCAUUGAUAUCUAUGAAGCAAAUCAACAAAAUAGAAAAUUCCAGGGGAUUACCCAAGGCAAGAAGGGAAGAAUUACUCAGUUUUUUUUACUCCUCCACUUUCCCUCAAUGUGAAUGCUCUGAUGACCCUGACAUGGUAUAUCCACUGUGACCCCGCCCUGAAUCUAAAGUAGACUGAUCUGUCGAUGCAACGCGUUCAUGCUUAUGCUUUCUCUUUUUUGCACCUGAUUGUUCUCCAACCUCGGAUAAAGAACUCUUAUAUCUGCUACUGUGUGUUGAGGUUGGAUGUCCCCUUGACGAAUAUGAGUUUCUGAGCUUGGUGUUUUGAGUAGGAGUCCCAGAAGAGUUUAUCAAUGAAGAUCCAGCAGACAUUUGAUAUAGUCGUUUUGACUUCUUUUCAGCUUCUUGUUUUUCAAGUUCUUUAGGAUCAUGGUAAUGAACAAGAGCAACUCGCCGUGAAAUAUUCCCCACUAUAAAUACAGACAACUAUAUCAACAGCACAUAAAUACGCAAUAUAACAGAAUUCACACUGUUCAGUCAUUCAUAGAGCAACAACUACGCAUUUAUUAACAAUGAUAAUGACUCAUACAAUUCAAUCAUUUUCAAUUUUUGUUAUACCAAGAUACAAGUAAAAGUGCUAAUAUACUACUUGUUAGGAAUUGGGAUAUAAUCAUAAAUGUUUUGUUAAGGAUUCCCACAGGGCUGGUAUUUGGAAUUCUCACAGAUAGUGAUGAAAGUUUACUCCUCAUCACCACUGAGAAGGAAACCAUGUAUCCGAUGGGGGAAAAAUAGGGAUUCCCAGAUCCAAACGGGGAACAGGGAAUCCCUACCCAUUGUCAUCUCUUGCAUUGAUUCUGAAGAGUUUGAGUUACAAAUCCAUUAGGAUCAUUCAGCUCUAUCUAUAGUAAUUUUCUUCAAUUAUAAUUGACAUACAACUCUUACUAAAUACAAAUAACACCCAGCCACAAGAUUUUCAAAAGCAUCCUUUGGAACAAAUGGUUUUCCAUAAUCGAUCUCUAAAGACAGUAAAAAUACAAAGAACUUGCUCUAGAAAGAACAGAAAAUAACCGAAACAGAAAUAAUAAAUACAUGUAGAGUUAAGUAAUUCCAAACAAUACAUAAUGAUAAACAAUUGACCUUAGAAUCUGAGGAAUGAAAAUGAAGACAGAUUUGUCUAAUUACCAAUUUUUGUUUCAGAUGCUGAGGAUUGGAAAACUAUUGCAUCUGGCUCUUCCAUAGCACAGCUAACUAUAUCAUAUACUUUUCCUGAUGAACCCUCAAAACUGCCCAAACAUCCAUCACCAUGAAGACUAAGUGAUAUUUCUUUCCCUUGAAAAUCAGGAAGUUCAUUAUGAGGCCAUUGAAUGAGCCAAAGCUCUGUGGAGUCCGUCAACGAAAGAUCAACAAGAGGUUCUCUAGAAUCUUCUUCAAAUCCCGCUUCAGGCCUGUAAAUCUCCUCCUCAACACCCAUUGCUCAAUAACUGCGCAAAGGCGUAAGAAAGAGCCUACACAAGAGCGGGUUUAUGUUGGUCCGAG
rnacentral:misc_RNA from 1 species